UUUCGUUCGCUCUCCAGUUGAAAAGGUGUUUCAACAUCUUCUUCACGCUCACUACCAAGGGACGUUGACGUUCUUAUACGUUUUCGUGGGGAGAAUACUUCACCAAGAGAGAUCGAGACGGCUACGAAAAGAAGAUGGAAGGUCCAAAGGUGUUGCUAUCUGUGUCUCUCUGUAUGAUCGUCUGUUGUAGUUAUGGUCUAGCACAACAGCCUCCCCAGGUUCGUUACGUCCCCGUGCCAUAUGCCCGAACCGCGUAUUGUGCCAAUGGUGAACAAUAUGAUCCCAUGGACCAGAUCUGCUGCCAGGGUGUAGUUCAACAGUUGACAGGUCCUCCGCAUGUAUCUGUGUGCUGCAAUGGAGACGUCAUCAACAAUCUCACAGAGAAGUGCUGUAGAGGGCACGAGCGUGCCAGAGCCGAUCAAGCCUGCUGCGGUCCGGAGGCCUAUGACCUGUUUAGCGGAGAGCUGUGCUGCGGAAGCCGGUAUAUCUAUGAGCCUGGCUUCGAUAUCUGCUGCCACGGCUACGUGGCGCCGGCCGAGAAUCACAUCUGCUGUGAGAAAGGUCCAGUGAAAGUCGCGCAGGGCGCACAGGCCUCAUCGACGUGCUGUGGCUGCGGAGCGGUGAAUUCCCAGACAGAAAUGUGCUGCGGCGGCCAGCCCAUCAGUACGAGCUCCAGUACGGAGGCAUGCUGCAAUGGCGACACAGUGUACAACCCUACGAAACAGGUGUGCUGCUCUGAAGGUGGCUCCAUGACCGUGCUACAGGGAGACACGUGCAAGCCAGACAGACAGACAGCCAGGGCUAAUGCCAACACCAGAAUCAAUUUGAAUCCUUUGGGCAGAAGAAGGAAAUGACGUCAAUGGGCUUACCAAAAUUGGAUUGAACAAUGUCGCGUCGGUACCGCUAAUGCAACAAGCAACCUGCUUCAUGAACAUAACAAUGUAUAUGUACGUGUAAUUGAAUAUUCAUUUGUAGAAGACAAGCACUAUACUCGUGUAGCAUAUUCGUGAUUAUACCUUUCUCUACCUUUCUCUACCUUUCUCUAUGAUCUUCUCGCUGUGGAUCUGUCGCCGCCCUUCAUGCACUCUGCUUUGGGUUCAUCCGUUAAUCUAUAACACUAUAUUGACUAUUCCUCACUGAACCUCCACACUGCUCAGUUCAUACUUGGUAACAGUAUUUGUUACACUCACCUCAGUCCCAUUGUCGCAGGUUCCAUCUUUUCAGAUAGUAUCAGCAGCUUGAUGGCAUAAUCCAGCAUCCAUAUUAGUUUAGGUCUGGUUACUAUUUUGAGGUCAUUGAAAUGAAAAGUAAAAUGAUGUAUUCUUA